AAUAAGCGGAGGAAAAGAAACUAACAAGGAUUCCCCUAGUAACGGCGAGUGAAGCGGGAAGAGCUCAAAUUUGAAAUCUGGUGGCCUCAGGUCAUCCGAGUUGUAAUCUAUAGAAGUGUUUUCCGUGCUGGCUCAUGUACAAGUCCCUUGGAACAGGGCGUCAUAGAGGGUGAGAAUCCCGUCCUUGACAUGAACUACCAGUGCUCUGUGAUACAUUUUCAACGAGUCGAGUUGUUUGGGAAUGCAGCUCAAAAUGGGUGGUAAAUUCCAUCUAAAGCUAAAUAUUGGCGAGAGACCGAUAGCGAACAAGUACCGUGAGGGAAAGAUGAAAAGCACUUUGGAAAGAGAGUUAAACAGUAUGUGAAAUUGUUGAAAGGGAAACGAUUGAAGUCAGUCGUGCUCUUUGGAUUCAGCCGGUUCUGCCGGUGUACUUCCUUUGAGUGGGGUCAACAUCAGUUUUGAUCGCUGGAUAAAGGCUGGAGGAACGUAGUACCCUCGGGUAAACUUAUAGCCUCCUGUCACAUACAGUGGUUGGGACUGAGGAACGCAGCACGCCUUUAUGGCCGGGAUUCGUCCACGUACGUGCUAGGAUGUGACAAUGCC
rnacentral:rRNA from 1 species